UAGGACACAUCAUCUCCCACUCUCUCUCUCUCUCUCUCUCUCUCUCUCUCUCUCUCUCUCUCUCUCCAACCCAAAAGAGCCAGUAGCUUGAGAGAUCUUUGGCUCAUCAUCACAAUCUUCAUCAAUUAAGAACCAGGGAUCAUGAAGCAAAAGAUGGUGAUCAAGUUGUCUGCUGUGCAUGAUGAGAAGUCCAGAGCCAAAGCUAUGAAGACUGCAGUUGGGGUUGAUGGGGUGAAUUCAGCAAGUUUGCAGCAGGACAAGGGCCUAAUAGAAGUGACAGGGGAUGGCGUUGAUGUGGCUCUGCUCACAUAUCUGCUCAGAAAAAGC